CCUACGGGAGGCAGCAGUGAGGAAUAUUGGUCAAUGGAGGCAACUCUGAACCAGCCAUGCCGCGUGAAGGAUGACGGCCCUAUGGGUUGUAAACUUCUUUUAUAGAGGAAGAAACUUAUCUACGUGUAGAUAACUGACGGUACUAUUAGAAUAAGGAUCGGCUAACUCCGUGCCAGCAGCCGCGGUAAUACGGAGGAUCCAAGCGUUAUCCGGAUUCAUUGGGUUUAAAGGGUCCGUAGGCGGGUCUUUAAGUCAGUGGUGAAAGCCGACAGCUCAACUGUCGAACUGCCAUUGAUACUGGAGACCUUGAGUACAAAUGAAGUAGGCGGAAUGAGUCAUGUAGCGGUGAAAUGCAUAGAUAUGACUCAGAACACCGAUUGCGAAGGCAGCUUACUAACAUGUAACUGACGCUGAGGGACGAAAGCGUGGGGAGCGAACAGGAUUAGAUACCCUGGUAGUCCACGCCGUAAACGAUCAUCACUCGCUGUUGGCGAUAUACUGUCAGCGGCCAAGCGAAAGUAUUAAGUGAUGCACCUGGGGAGUACGCCGGCAACGAUGAAACUCAAAGGAAUUGACGGA
rnacentral:rRNA from 1 species